rnacentral:rRNA from 1 species
UACGUAGGGUGCAAGCGUUAUCCGGAAUUAUUGGGCGUAAAGAGCUCGUAGGCGGUUUGUCGCGUCUGCUGUGAAAACCCGAGGCUCAACUUGGGAAUUGCAAUGGAUACUGGCAGGCUGGAGUAUGGUAGAGGAAGGUGGAAUUCCCGGUGUAGCAGUGAAAUGCGCAGAUAUCAGGAGGAACACCGAUGGCGAAGGCAGGUCUCUGGGCCACUACUGACGCUGAGAAGCGAAAGCAUGGGGAGCGAACAGG